rnacentral:rRNA from 1 species
CGGGAGUAACGCGUGGGUAACCUGCCUCAUACAGGGGGAUAACAGUUAGAAAUGACUGCUAAUACCGCAUAAGCGCACAGUGCUGCAUGGCACAGUGUGAAAAACUCCGGUGGUAUGAGAUAGACCCGCGUCUGAUUAGCUAGUUGGUGGGGUAACGGCCUACCAAGGCGACGAUCAGUAGCCGGCCUGAGAGGGUGAACGGCCACAUUGGGACUGAGACACGGCCCAA